UGUAGGAGUUUUCUACACCAGUGUGUUUAAUGAUGUCAAAUAUGAAGCGAAAGAACACAACAAGUUUUCAAUAAAUUCAAUUACAAGUUUAGAUUAGCACAUUCACUGACUGAGUGAAAGUAAUUAAAGAAAUCAACAAUGAAAACAAGAACGCCUUUAGACAAAGCUUGCUACUUCGGUGAUUUAAAAACACUAAAAGAGUUGCUAGAAAAAUUAAAGGAUUCACAAUGCUCACCGGAAGAACUGUGUUCAUGACUUUGUACUGCAAUCAAACGUUUAAAUGACGAAGAUAAAGAAGAAAACAAUGAAAGAUGCUAUGAAUUAAUGUUAAAAACUAUCAAAAGCAAGAAAGAUUUCGAUACAGAACAGUAUAAAGACAGUUACGGAAAAACCCCUCUUUUCUACGCCAUAUAUAUCACAACAAUCCAGAGAUUAUUAUGGACUUAUUAAGCACACUAUGUUUAAUCAAUUCGAACAAUAGUCCAAGUCCUAUUGAUAAAGUCGACCCAGAGAUGUUAAGAAGACACUUCGAUCGGUGCGUAACUGAAACCAUAAAGGGAGUUAAAGGUCCGGGAAUUAACAUAACUUUUAACUUUGAAACACUUCUUUGUCCAGAAAAACACAAAGAAAAUCCUCACGUUGAUUCAAAAGUUGUAUAUGAAAUAAGCUGCAGAAAAAAACUCGAAAAUUUGCUCUUGCAUCCCAUGAUUUUAUGCUUCGUAGCAAUGAAGUGGGGCAAUAGCAAAAUGUAUGAUGUAAUUUUUUGGAGCCGUAUUUUUUUUUGCUUUUUGAAUAUAGCGCUGCUUUCCGCUUACGUUAUGACUAAUAUACGCCCUUUCAAAUAUUCGUGUUUGUGUACACAGUUGUUUUACGUUUUGUAUGUGGUUUUUGAAGACAUAUUGCAGCUUAAAUUUGACCAUCCCGAAAAAUGGCAUUUAUUACUACGAAAAGUAAUAUUGUCUCCAAAUGUAUUGUUGUCUCUUGCUAGUUUCAUACUGGACAGAAUUCACGUUGCCUUUUAUUCUUACUUUUUUGUGUUUUGAAAUGAUUUUAGUUUGCAGCAUCCGAUACAUUUAUGGUGAAAUGUUCAAAGUAGUGCUUUUCGUUGUUGGGAGACUACUAGUUUGGUACAUUCUCAUAUUGUUUAUACCUUUGACAAUUCUUUACAACGUAUUAUUCGAUAAUGCAUUUAACAAAAAAAUACCGAAAUCAAUUUUUGACGUCUUUAGUCUUCUAACUGGAAAUGUAAAUCUGGACGAAAAUUCGACACCACUACAAAAUUUUUGUACUUGGCUUUUAUUAUUGUACUGCCUCUGACAGUGUCUAAUUUAAUAACCAGCAAUGCUAUUGAUGAUGUUAAAGAACUAAAAAAGAAAGCAGAUAUUGUUAGCCUAGCCAAGUUAGCCUAGUUAGAGCAAAAAUUUUGUUUAUUUAUAGAUUUGAUAUCGUUAUUAGGAAUAUAAAAAAGAAAAAUUGUAAAUCUUCCAAAAUUGUUAACCCAAUUCCACAGAAGGUGACGGCUUAUAUUAAUUUUCUUAAACGAGAUUCAAACACACAAAAAUUUAACAAAAAACUAAUCGAAAAUUUAAACUUAUUAUUUGAAAGAACACAGAAAACAAUUAUUGUUGUUUCAUCCGGGUUUUUUUACAAACCAAACAAAAAACAAAUCGUGGAAGAUAAUGACACUCCCGAAUCGGAGACAAUGGUUUGAUAGUACAAGUAUAACAACAAAUUUUUAAAACUAUGUUCAAAAAUAAUGUAAAAGCUCGUCGUUUGAAAUAAAAACGAAACACCCAUUUUUGUGUACAUGUUGAUUUAUAUGGUAUGCUUUAACCUAUUCGACUUAGUUCUUCGGGUGGACAGAUUAAGCUCAUGUAGGUAAUCGUCUAUCUCUUCUGGUGUCAGUUAUUCGAUGGCCACUUCACUCGAAACUAAAAGGAUGGUAAUAAAACAUAAUUUAAAUUUAGAUAUAUUGUCUCAAUCUGUAUUUAUAUUGUCAUAAUCUAGUACUUAAUAUAAAUAAUAAUAAUAUUAA